rnacentral:rRNA from 1 species
GAUCAUGGCUCAAGAUGAACGCUAGCUACAGGCUUAACACAUGCAAGUCGCGGGGUAACAUCUGGUAGAGCUUGCUCUUCCAGGAUGACGACCGGCGCACGGGUGAGUAACGCGUAUCCAACCUGGCCCAUACCACGGGAUAGCCCGUCGAAAGGCGGAUUAAUACCGUAUGCUGUCAUUAAGAUGCAUAUAUUGAUGACGAAAGGACUGGCGGUAUGGGAUGGGG